rnacentral:rRNA from 1 species
AGCAGGCGCGCAAAUUACCCAAUCCCGACACGGGGAGGUAGUGACAAUAAAUAACAAUACGGGGUUCUUUNGGAUCUCGUAAUUGGAAUGAGUACAAUUUAAAUCUCUUAACGAGGAACAAUUGGAGGGCAAGUCUGGUGCCAGCAGCCGCGGUAAUUCCAGCUCCAAUAGCGUAUAUUAAAGUUGUUGCAGUUAAAAAGCUCGUAGUUGAAUUUCGGGGUNAGNANNNNGGUCAUGCCUCUGGUAUGUACUGGUCUCACUGAUUCCUCCUUCCUGAUGAACCGUAAUGCCAUUAAUUUGGUGUUGCGGGGAAUUUGGACUGUUACUUUGAAAAAAUUAGAGUGUUUAAAGCAAGCUAACGCUUGAAUACAUUAGCAUGGAAUAAUGAAAUAGGACGUUCGAUCCUAUUUUGUUGGUUUCUAGGAUUGACGUAAUGAUUAAUAGGGAUAGUUGGGGGCAUUAGUAUUCAAUUGUCAGAGGUGAAAUUCUUGGAUUUAUUGAAGACUAACUACUGCGAAAGCAUUUGCCAAGGAUGUUUUCAUUAAUCAAGAACGAAAGUUAGGGGAUCGAAGACGAUCAGAUACCGUCGUAGUCUUAACCAUAAACUAUGCCGACUAGGGAUCGGAUGAUGUUAAUUUUUUAAUGACUCAUUCGGCGCCUUACGGGAAACCAAAGUGUUUGGGUUCA